AUUGAACGCUGGCGGCAUGCUUUACACAUGCAAGUCGAACGGCAGCGCGGGCUUCGGCCUGGCGGCGAGUGGCGAACGGGUGAGUAAUGCAUCGGAACGUGCCCAGUAGUGGGGGAUAGCCCGGCGAAAGCCGGAUUAAUACCGCAUACGACCUGAGGGUGAAAGCGGGGGACCGAAAGGCCUCGCGCUAUUGGAGCGGCCGAUGUCGGAUUAGCUAGUUGGUGGGGUAAAGGCUUACCAAGGCGACGAUCCGUAGCUGGUCUGAGAGGACGACCAGCCACACUGGGACUGAGACACGGCCCAGACUCCUACGGGAGGCAGCAGUGGGGAAUUUUGGACAAUGGGGGCAAACCUGAUCCAGCCAUGCCGCGUGCGGGAAGAAGGCCUUCGGGUUGUAAACCGCUUUUGUUCGGGAAGAAAUCCUCUGGGCUAAUACCCCGGGGGGAUGACGGUACCGGAAGAAUAAGCACCGGCUAACUACGUG
rnacentral:rRNA from 1 species